rnacentral:lncRNA from 1 species
AAUACUCUUCCAACUCAUAUUUUCACUCCAACCUUUUCUUACCUCAUCAUUUAUCCGAAGGUAAUUCUCUCUUCUCAUUGAUUUUUUUAGGUCAUUAUUGACUUCUAAUUAAUUUUGUCUUGAGCCGGGCGUCUAUCGGAAACAGCCUCUCUACUCCUUUGGGGUAGUGGUAUGGACUGCGUACAUUUUACCCUCCCCAGACCCCACUAUGUGGAAAUAUACUGGGUUUGUUGUUGUUAUUAUUGUUGUGUAUUGACUUCUAAUUAAAAUUGAGAAAAUGAGAAAAAUCUCAAAAAUAAGGUUACUUGGGAUUGAGUUUCAUUAGUGGACCCCAGGCUGCUAUAAUAACGAUAUGCAGUGUACUACUUGAGGAAUCUUUUAGUCUCCUUUUUGUGGUUCUUUUUUUUCACACCUUAUUAUGUUUUUCAAAUAUAUGGGACACUUAUCUAACAUUUCUACCUUCUUAUCUAGGUAAUAUGAGAACUAUAGUUGAAGAAGGUGACAUUUUCACUGGUUAAUGAGGAAUUUCACAACUCAAAAUAAAGGAGGCCUGAUUUGUAUGUACACCUAAAGGACGUCAGACACUAGUGUGAGUUUUUGAUAGAUGGGAUGGAUAAGGAGUCUCUAGUGUUUUAGACACGAUGUCAGAACAUGGGUUAAGGAAAUAUGGUGCAUGUGACAUAAACGUGCAAUAAGAUUUGAGUGAGAAAGUUCUUUGUUACCUCUCUAAAGUUAUUAGAAUAAGGUGAACCCCUAUAGCCCAAAUAGAUGUGAAUACGAGGGAACAGAUUAUGGUAGAGUGGAGCUUCUUCUUUUCCCUUCGAAAGAACCUUUACUUCCUUUCUUUAUUACUAAGCUAUGCUAGAAGGCUAAGGUACCUAUGGAGAUGGAGGAUGCAUUGACCGAGUUUGAUGCUCCCUUCAAUCGAUUGAUAGUGCAGAGUGCUAAAGGGAGGAGUAAAACAAAGAGGAAUAUGAGUGUCAAUAGGGAGAGCAAUGGGUAUUAGGAGGGUGGAGGAUUGGGGACUAUCCUCUUACGUCCACCGAGGCCCUUCAGGUGAUUAAAGAAUGAUUUAGUGACUAUAAAAUAUAUGAUUUCUAGGAUGCCCAUCCUUCCCUGAGAUCCUACUUCUUCUAGUAUGUAGGCCUCUCAAAUAUCCAAAGUGCUUACUCUAUCUUGGCUCAGGCAUAUGUAGAGAUUCAAAAGGAAAUAGAGGUAGAGAAAGAAGGGGCACACUCAAGAUUAGUUGCUGGUACACAAAUGGAAAGGAAUGAAGGUUAUCAUAAAUUUUGUUUCCUCGGGGUAGAAGCUCCCCAAGGCGAGGAAUACCGAUGCUCAAGGGUUGUCCUUUCCUGAGUGGGAUAUAUGAUAAAGGUUCAGCUGUACCCAUCCUUACAUAUUAAGUGUCCAAUUUGGCCUAUCUUGGUAAUCCCGCCCCUCUCUUAUGUUUUUAGAUUGUUGUAUUUUUGGCCCUAUGUAGGCAUGUUUAAGAUAUCUCAUUACUUUUUGUACUCAAUAUUUAUUACUUAUUUUUCAUUCUUUGGUGUCGUUAGUGUCAUCUUUGGAUGAUAAUUUUGUUUGUAGUCCCAUAGUAUAGAAAUAUUGUAUUAGCAUCUGGAUUUUUCCUUUAAAUUGUGUUUUUUUGUAAAAUAUAGUUCUUCUAAAAAUUGGGCUCGAGCUUUCAGCUUGUGACUGCUGUAAUAGUACCUCAUAUGCUGCAGCAGUCUUGCUAAAACAACCUAUGGCCUGCUACAGCAACCUCAACCAGCCUACUAAUGUAGUAUGUCACCAACUGCAGUGUAACGCCCCAAGAACCCAUCCCGAG